rnacentral:snRNA from 1 species
GUGCUCACAUCAGCAGCACAUUUAGUAAAAUUAGAAGAUUACCAUGGCCCCUGCAUGAGGAUGACACGCAAAUUUGUGAAGCAUUCCAUAUUUUU